rnacentral:rRNA from 1 species
UACGAAGGGGGCUAGCGUUGCUCGGAAUUACUGGGCGUAAAGCGCACGUAGGCGGUCUUUUAAGUCGGGGGUGAAAUCCUGGAGCUCAACUCCAGAACUGCCUUCGAUACUGGAAGACUUGAGUCCGGGAGAGGUGAGUGGAACUGCGAGUGUAGAGGUGAAAUUCGUAGAUAUUCGCAAGAACACCAGUGGCGAAGGCGGCUCACUGGCCCGGAACUGACGCUGAGGUGCGAAAGCGUGGGGAGCAAACAGG